rnacentral:sRNA from 4 species
AUAUCUCUCCGUACGGGAAGGAUGAGAAGCUUCGACUAAGGUUCGAUUCGAGCGCAGCGAGAACGCGUUGC